rnacentral:lncRNA from 1 species
CCGAGACCUCGGGUCAGGUCAACGAUCUCGACUCCAAGUCGAACUCGCUCUCCUCGUCGAAGGCGCUGCAGCACGCUGAGUCGCCGUGUCCGUCGGUCUCCGGAAGGUUGCAGACGACGACGGGGGUUCGCUGCUGCUCGCCGAAAAUCGUGGCCACAAUUUGGGGCCUAGGGUUUCAGGCGGCGCUGCUGCUUGAUAUAAAAGCGGCGGCGACUGAAAUUGUGGGCUCGCCUGCCGCUGCAGUCACCGAGAAUUGAGGGCGAGGCGACAGCGGUGGCCAGCCGCUGCUAUCAGCCGGACGUUUGAGAAGGCGGUGGCUGUGCGUGUGUAGGGUGAAAAAGGGAAGAUGGAGAUAGAUAGAGGGUGAGAGGUGAGAGUCGUGGGUGGCCGGAGAGGCGGCAACCUUCACCGGGGAGUGAGGAGGCACCGCCGCCAGUCUGUGUCGGCAAGUGUGUGUGU